CGGCAUAGCUCAGUUGGUAGAGCAGCGCAUUCGUAAUGCGAAGGUCGGAGGUUCGACUCCUCUUGCCGG
rnacentral:tRNA from 1 species